rnacentral:rRNA from 1 species
UACAGAGGUCUCAAGCGUUGUUCGGAUUCAUUGGGCGUAAAGGGUGCGUAGGUGGCGCCGUAAGUCGGGUGUGAAAUCCUGGAGCUCAACUCCAGAACUGCCUUCGAUACUGGAGAGCUUGAGUCCGGGAGAGGUGAGUGGAACUGCGAGUGUAGAGGUGAAAUUCGUAGAUAUUCGCAAGAACACCAGUGGCGAAGGCGGCUCACUGGCCCGGUACUGGACGCUGAGGUGCGAAAGCGUGGGGAGCAAACAGG